rnacentral:rRNA from 1 species
CUCCGUGCCAGCAGCCGCGGUAAUACGGGGGAUGCAAGCGUUAUCCGGAAUCAUUGGGCGUAAAGCGCCUGUAGGUUGUUUAAUAAGUCUGUUGUUAAAGACUGGGGCUUAACCCCAGGAAAGCAAUGGAAACUACUAGACUAGAGUAUGGUAGGGGUAAAGGGAAUUUCUAGUGUAGCGGUGAAAUGCGUAGAUAUUAGAAAGAACACCGGUGGCGAAAGCGCUUUACUGGACCAUUACUGACACUCAGAGGCGAAAGCUAGGGUAGCCAAAGGGAUUAGAUACCCCUGUAGUCCUAGCCGUAAACGAUGGAUACUAGAUGUUGCGCUUAUUGUGCAGUGUCGUAGCUAACGCGUUAAGUAUCCCGCCUGGGGAGUACGAUCGCAAGGUUGAAACUCAAAGGAAUUGACGGGGGCCCGCACAAGCGGUGGAGCAUGUGGUUUAAUUCGAUGCAACGCGAAGAACCUUACCAGGGCUUGACAUACUGCAAAUUUUCUUGAAAGAGAAAAGUGCCUUUGGGAAUGCAGAUACAGGUGGUGCAUGGCUGUCGUCAGCUCGUGUCGUGAGAUGUUGGGUUAAGUCCCGCAACGAGCGCAACCCUCGUUUUUAGUUGCCAUUUUAUGGGUUCUCUAGAAAGACUGCCGGUGACAAACCGGAGGAAGGUGGGGAUGACGUCAAGUCAGCAUGCCCCUUAUGCCCUGGGCUACACACGUGCUACAAUGGCUAAGACAAAGAGUCGCGAAUUCGCGAGAAUCAGCUAAUCUCAUAAACUUCGUCUAAGUUCAGAUUGUAG